rnacentral:rRNA from 1 species
AAUCAACGCUGGCGGCGUGCCUCAGACAUGCAAGUCGAACGCGAAAGUUCCCUUCGGGGAUGAGUAGAGUGGCGCACGGGUGAGUAACACGUAGGUAAUCUACCUUUGGAUGGGGAAUAACAACCGGAAACGGUUGCUAAUACCGCAUAAUGCAGCGGCACCUAAUGGUGACAGUUGUUAAAGCGGGGGAUCGAAAGACCUCGCGUCUGAAGAGGAGCCUGCGGCGGAUUAGCAGUUGGUAAGGUAACGGCUUACCAAGGCGCGAUCCGUAGCCGGCCUGAGAGGGCGGUCGGCCACACUGACACUGACAUACGGGUUCAGACUCCUACGGGAGGCAGCAGUCGGGAAUUUUGGGCAAUGGGCGAAAGCCUUGACCCAGCAACGCCGCGUGAAGGAUGAAAUCCC